UUGAAAUGAUAAAUAUAAGAAUGACAUUAUAGCUACUUUGUUUUACAAUGCAUCUAGAACAUAUCGUGAAUCAACGUUCUCAGAAGCGUGGAGAAGUAUUCUUGCAUUUCCUAAGGAUUCAGGAAAAUAUUUAAACGAUGUUGGAAUAACACGAUGGUCUCGUUUUCACUGUCCAAGAAGACGAUAUAAUAUGAUGACAACAAAUAUAGUAGAGUCCAUGAAUUCUAUACUGAAAGAACCUAGAGAUUUGCCUAUUGCUUCAUUCCUUGAACAUGUUCGAGCUUUGCUACAACGUUGGUUUUGGGAGCGUCGAGAAGAAGGCAUUAAAGUGACGUCUACAUUGACUAAAUGGGCAGAGUUAGUUCUACAAAAGAAACAAGAACGAGCUUUGACAAUGAAAGUCAACCCAAUUGAUUGUUACCAAUUCCAUGUUAAAGAUUUAGAUAAAGAGGAGGUCGUAAAUCUUCAUACUCAAGAGUGCACUUGUAUGGAGUUUCAAGCUGAGCAACGACCAUGCGCACAUGCCAUUGCUGUUGCACGGGAUCACAAUAUAAAUGUUUAUAGCUUAUGUGCUAACUAUUACACUAAUGAAUGUUUGUUGGCAGCAUAUUCGGAGGUCGUCUACCCAGUUGGGAAUCAGUCGGAAUGGAAGACAAGUGAAGAAUAUGUACAUAUGAUUGUCUUACCUCCGAAAGUAGUGUAAAGAGUUGGUCGACCAAAGAAAAAUAGGAUUCCAAGUGUCGGUGAAGCACCAAAAUUGCAUAAACGUGGUCGAUGUAAAGAAACAGGCCACAAUAGAUUAACGUGUACCAAUCCAGUUUCAUACAUUCAGAAGUCGAGCAUACAAGAUUAGUACCCGUCUUGGUGGAAGAUGCUUAUAAAAUUGUGUCCUGUGUUGUUUGCAAGAUCACUAAAGUCAUCUCACUGACAAUUCUAAGUUGAAGACUUUUCUUCUGCAACUUCAAGACUUUCCUUCUCUUUUUAUUUAUCCUACUGUUAACUAUUUAUAGAAUAUUUACUCAUUGUAUUUUUUUUUUACAAUGUUUGUAUUACGUUGCGUGUAACAACCAUUUUAUAUGGUAUUUGGUUUUUAACAGAAAUGCUCUCCUUUGGCAUCUAUUCUAUAAAUUUCUGUUGACUGCAAAUUGUGCAAAAUA